rnacentral:rRNA from 1 species
GACGAACGCUGGCGGCGCGCCUAACACAUGCAAGUCGAACGAGCGAGAGAGAGCUUGCUUUCUCGAGCGAGUGGCGAACGGGUGAGUAACGCGUGAGGAACCUGCCUCAAAGAGGGGGACAACAGUUGGAAACGACUGCUAAUACCGCAUAAGCCCACGACCCGGCAUCGGGUAGAGGGAAAAGUAGCAAUCCGCUUUGAGAUGGCCUCGCGUCUGAUUAGCUAGUUGGUGAGGUAACGGCCCACCAAGGCGACGAUCGGUAGCCGGACUGAGAGGUUGAACGGCCACAUUGGGACUGAGACACGGACCAGACUCCUACGGGAGGCAGCAGUGGAGAAUAUUGCACAAUGGGGGAUACCCUGAUGCAGCGACGCCGCGUGGAGGAAGAAGGUCUUCGGAUUGUAAACUCCUGUUGUAGAGGAAGAUAAUGACGGUACUCAACAAGGAAGUGACGGCUAACUACGUG